UACAGAGGUCUCAAGCGUUGUUCGGAUUCAUUGGGCGUAAAGGGUGCGUAGGCGGCGCGGUAAGUCGGGUGUGAAAUCUUGGAGCUUAACUCCGAAACUGCAUUCGAUACUGCCGUGCUUGAGGACUGGAGAGGAGACUGGAAUUUACGGUGUAGCGGUGAAAUGCGUAGAUAUCGUAAGGAAGACCAGUGGCGUAGGCAGGUCUCUGGACAGUACCUGACGCUGAGGCACGAAGGCCAGGGGAGCAAACGGG
rnacentral:rRNA from 1 species